AACGAACGCUGGCGGCAUGCCUAACACAUGCAAGUCGAACGAGACCUUCGGGUCUAGUGGCGCACGGGUGCGUAACGCGUGGGAACCUGCCCUUAGGUUCGGAAUACCUCCCCGAAAGGGGUGCUAAUACCGGAUAAUGUCUUCGGACCAAAGAUUUAUCGCCUUUGGAUGGGCCCGCGUUGGAUUAGCUAGUUGGUAGUGUAAAAGCCUACCAAGGCGACGAUCCAGAGCUGGUCUGAGAGGAUGAUCAGCCACACUGGGACUGAGACACGGCCCAGACUCCUACGGGAGGCAGGAGUGGGGAAUAUUGGACAAUGGGCGAAAGCCUGAUCAAGCCAUGCCGGGGGAGUGAUGAAGGCCUUAGGGUUGUAAAGCUCUUUUACCCGGGAUGAUAAUGACAGUACCGGGAGAAUAAGCACCGGCUAACUACGUG
rnacentral:rRNA from 1 species